rnacentral:rRNA from 1 species
GACGAACGCUGGCGGCGUGCCUAACACAUGCAAGUCGAACGAGGUCCAUCCUUCGGGAGAAGACCUAGUGGCGAACGGGUGAGUAACACGUGAAGAACCUGCCCCGAAGACCGGGAUAACCCUCCGAAAGGAGAGCUAAUACCGGAUACCCCCACCGAACCGCAUGGUUUGGUGAGGAAAUGGAUUCCGCUUCGGGAGGGCUUCGCGGCCUAUCAGCUAGUUGGUGGGGUAACGGCCACCAAGGCAUCGACGGGUAGCUGGUCUGAGAGGACGAUCAGCCACACUGGGACUGAGACACGGCCCAGACUCCUACGGGAGGCAGCAGUGGGGAAUCUUGCGCAAUGGGCGAAAGCCUGACGCAGCAACGCCGCGUGGGGGA